AUGGGGGCUCUGGAGCGGAAGCAGUCAAGGUCUCCCUCUCGGAGACACCGACGACGUGACUCCUCCAACAUAUCACCCCCCGAAAGGGGCAUCCUCCAAGAAAGGAAAGACUCGAUGUUUAUUUUUGCAAGAAGCGUGAUCAAGCAUCUCCCAAGAAGGAUAAAGACCACCUGCUUCCCAAGAAGACGAAGAACACAUGCGAAGAAUAUCGCAAUAGGUCACUAUCACCAAGACCGAGGCGACAAGGGCGGAACCUCUCCCCUUAACGAGAUCACGACGCCCGGCGAGGAAGUAACCAUAACUCCCCGUCAUCAUCGCUAG